rnacentral:rRNA from 1 species
AACGGACGCUGGCGGCAGGCCUAACACAUGCAAUUCGAGCGCCCCGCAAGGGGAGCGGCGGACGGGUGAGUAACGCGUGGGAACGUACCCUUUUCUGCGGAAUAGCCCAGGGAAACUUGGAUUAAUACCGCAUACGCCCUUCGGGGGAAAGAUUUAUCGGAGAAGGAUCGGCCCGCGUUGGAUUAGGUAGUUGGUGGGGUAAUGGCCUACCAAGCCGACGAUCCAUAGCUGGUUUGAGAGGAUGAUCAGCCACACUGGGACUGAGACACGGCCCAGACUCCUACGGGAGGCAGCAGUGGGGAAUCUUCGGCAAUGGGCGCAAGCCUGACCGAGCCAUGCCGCGUGAGCGAUGAAGGCCUUAGGGUUGUAAAGCUCUUUCGCCAGGGAUGAUAAUGACAGUACCUGGUAAAGAAACCCCGGCUAACUCCGUGCCAGCCGCCGCGGUAAAAC